rnacentral:sRNA from 1 species
CACCGCCUGGGGAGUACGACCGCAAGGUUAAAACUCAAAUGAAUUGACGGGGACCCGCACAAGUAGUGGAGCAUGUGGUUUAAUUCGAAGAUACGCGCAGAACCUUACCAACACUUGACAUGUUCGUCGCGACUCUAAGAGAUUAGAGUUUUCGGUUCGGCCGGACGAAACACAGGUGCUGCAUGGCUGUCGUCAGCUCGUGUCGUGAGAUGUUGGGUUAAGUCCCGCAACGAGCGCAACCCUCACUUUUAGUUGCCAUCAUUUAGUUGGGCACUCUGAAAGAACUGCCAGUGAUAAGCUGGAGGAAGGUGGGGAUGACGUCAAGUCCUCAUGGCCCUUACGUGUUGGGCUACACACGUGCUACAAUGGUAUCUACAAUAGGAAGCAAGAUGGCGACAUCAAGCAAAUCCUAAAAAGAUACCUCAGUUCGGAUUGCACUCUGCAACUCGAGUGCAUGAAGCUGGAAUUACUAGUAAUCGCGGAUCAGCGCGCCGCGGUGAAUACGUUCCCGGGUCUUGUACACACCGCCCGUCACACCAUGGGAGUUGGUUCUACCUUAAGGCAAAGCCUAAAAACUUUGACCACGGUAUAGUCAGCGACUGGGGUGAAGUCGUAACAAGGUAGCCGUAGGGGAACCUGCGGCUGGAUUACCUCCUUUCUAAGGAUGAUCAAAAAUUUAUUUUUGAUCUAAAUAUUUAACAGGUUAAUGUUGACCGUCCUCAUUUCUCUUCUUAAUUUUAGUGUUUCUCUUUACUGAAUAAGGGCCGGUAGCUCAGUUGGUUAGAGCACACCCUUGAUAAGGGUGGGGUCGAAAGUUCGAGUCUUUCUCGGCCCACCAUUUUUAAUUUGGGGGAUUAGCUCAGCUGGGAGAGCGCCUGAUUUGCAUUCAGGAGGUCAGCGGUUCGAUCCCGCUAUCCUCCACCAGAAACACUUAGUUAUAAAAAUUGUGAAUAAAAAUUAAUAUUAUCAAUAUCUAUAUCCGAUUGUUCGAAUAGAUGAACAAUCAUAGAAUGUUCGAAUAGAUGAACAUUCCAACAAAAUUUGAUUCAACACAGAAUUUUUUUCUG